AGAGUUUGAUCCUGGCUCAGAAUCAACGCUGGCGGCGUGCCUAACACAUGCAAGUCGAACGAGAAAGUGGAGCAAUCCAUGAGUAAAGUGGCGCACGGGUGAGUAACACGUGACUAACCUACCCUGGAGUGGGGGAUAACUGAGGGAAACCUUAGCUAAUACCGCAUAAUACCUACGGGUCAAAGGAGCAAUUCGCUUUGGGAGGGGGUCGCGGCCGAUUAGUUAGUUGGCGGGGUAAUGGCCCACCAAGACGAUGAUCGGUAUCCGGCCUGAGAGGGCGCACGGACACACUGGAACUGAAACACGGUCCAGACUCCUACGGGAGGCAGCAGUGGGGAAUUUUGCGCAAUGGGGGAAACCCUGACGCAGCAACGCCGCGUGGAGGAUGAAGACCUUCGGGUCGUAAACUCCUUUCGAUCGGGACGAUAAUGACGGUACCGGAAGAAGAAGCCCCGGCUAACUUCGUGCCAGCAGCCGCGGUAAUACGAGGGGGGCGAGCGUUGUUCGGAAUUAUUGGGCGUAAAGGGUGCGUAGGCGGUUUGGUAAGUCUUGUGUGAAAUCUACAGGCUCAACUUGUAGUCUGCACGAGAAACUGCCGGGCUUGAGUAUGGGAGAGGUGAGUGGAAUUCCUGGUGUAGCGGUGAAAUGCGUAGAUAUCAGGAGGAACACCUGUGGCGAAAGCGGCUCACUGGACCAUAACUGACGCUGAUGCACGAAAGCUAGGGG
rnacentral:rRNA from 1 species